rnacentral:rRNA from 1 species
UACGUAGGUGGCGAGCGUUGUCCGGAAUUACUGGGUGUAAAGCGCGUGUAGGCGGGAGGCCAAGUCUGUGGUGAAAUCGCUCGGCUUAACUGGGCGGGGUCCAUGGUAACUGGUCACCUGGAGGUCGGUAGAGGCAAGUGGAAUUCCCGGUGUAGUGGUGAAAUGCGUAGAGAUCGGGAGGAACACCAGUGGCGAAGGCGGCUUGCUGGGCCGGACCUGACGCUGAGACGCGAAGGCGUGGGGAGCGAACGGG